CUAUCCCAAUCUUGUCAACCUCUUCCCCUUCUCCUUCGUCUUCCCCUUCUCCUUCAUUUGACUUUGAGAUUGAGAUCGAGCGGUUUGCACAGGGCUCAAUGGUGUCCCAGCAGUCUCACAAACCUGGUCAGGUUAAGCCCUCUCCAAGGAAUACCGCAUCAUGCCUAGCACCAACUAGCCACUCGCUAGUAUCAUUGGAUUUGUUGCUGCUAGAUCAUGGCCUCUGUUUGCUGCAAGGUGUGGAAUUCCAUAUUGGAGAGCAGAACAUGCCAUCUAGUAUGCGAGCUUGCUUGUGUUUCAUCCCUGGGGUUUCUGUUUUGAACUGGCCUCCUCCAGUUCUUCUUACUAUUGAGGUGGUACAACAGUUAGCCCCCAGUUUAAUGAAGCCAUACUGUUAGUUGAUUUCCCUCCUCAUAUCCAAGAACCUCCCUUUCACUGCCCUCCCGCUCAUGAUGGCACUCUUGCAGCUUUUGAUUAUAUUAAAAGAAGACAAGGUCAUUAGUCGUUUUUGCUGAAGUUUGUUCCUCAUUGGUCACUUUUGCUGAAGUUUGUUCCUCUUCUUUGUAUGGAUGUAUUAGAUAAAUGUUGGGUUGGUUAGGAUAUUUUAGAAUUUUAAGAGAUAGGAUAUCUUAGAAAUUAAAGAGACAGGACUCCUAGUUUAUUGAAAGCUUUCUAACUAUUAGGGAGAGAUUUGUGUGAGAUUGAGAGAGAGAGAGAAUUAUGUAAAUAAAUCAGUUUUGGGUCUUGUGAAAAGAUAU
rnacentral:lncRNA from 1 species